rnacentral:rRNA from 1 species
AGUGAACGCUGGCGGUAGGCCUAACACAUGCAAGUCGAACGGCAGCACAGUAAGAGCUUGCUCUUACGGGUGGCGAGUGGCGGACGGGUGAGGAAUACAUCGGAAUCUACUUUUUCGUGGGGAUAACGUAGGGAAACUUACGCUAAUACCGCAUACGACCUACGGGUGAAAGCAGGGGAUCUUCGGACCUUGCGCGAUUGAAUGAGCCGAUGUCGGAUUAGCUAGUUGGCGGGGUAAAGGCCCACCAAGGCGACGAUCCGUAGCUGGUCUGAGAGGAUGAUCAGCCACACUGGAACUGAGACACGGUCCAGGCUCCUACGGGAGGCAGCAGUGGGGAAUAUUGGACAAUGGGCGCAAGCCUGAUCCAGCCAUACCGCGUGGGUGAAGAAGGCCUUCGGGUUGUAAAGCCCUUUUGUUGGGAAAGAAAAGCAGCAGGUUAAUACCCCGCUGUUCUGACGGUACCCAAAGAAUAAGCACCGGCUAACUUCGUG